GGUUCCAGUUUCUUUACUGUCUUUCAUUAGAAUUUUAAAAGCAUUGUCUCUUCCUUUCAGGGGUAUAUUCAGUGGGAAGCAGUUACCGACAUUGUAGCUUCACGUUUCUUUGCCCAGAUCUGUAAACAAACAUCUACAUAGUGAAAAAAGCUCCCUAUUUCAGGAGAACUUUUGUGAAAUGCGGGAGGUCACCAGCUUUCUCUUGGGUGACCUUGACUCAGUAUCUCUGGGGGUCACCCUGCUGUGUUUGGCUGGACAGCAUGGAAGCACUAGGGUGUGAGGGCUCUCCCUGUCAUGGGAGGGUAUUAUAAUCUGGGAAAGGACCUGGGUCUGGAAAUCAGGAGUUCUGGGGUCCUGAACAGAAAGAGUUGCAUUCUCAUUAUGCCUCUGAUGUCUCAUCUUUUAAGGGAGAAACAGUAAAUCCUGUUCACAACUCCAUGGUACAUCGAAUUACAGUGAAAUCUUGAGAGCAGAGUUCCUUUACAGUCACUUUCCGGCAUUUAUGUUCUUGAUAUUUUAACUGUUGAGGGAGUCUGUGCCUUUGUUUUGUUUGAACAUAAAAUAUCACCCCAAGUCCUAUUAGUCAGUCUAAUACUUGGCAUUGAGAGUGACCGGAUUAAGGGGCUGCCUUUGUGGGAUGGAACCUCAGCGGCCACACACACAACCAUGACCAUCACUUCCAUGGCCCCUUGUAGAUGGUGCAUAUUGGAACCCCUCUUCUUCAGACUGCACUUGUGGAAACUCACCCAGCCUAGGACCCCCUGGGACUCUGUCCCAACUGCUGGGAUUAGAGGCAUGGGCCUUUGUCUGGCGUAUGUGUUCGUAGCGGUCAUCAAAGGUACCAGGAGGCACCAUCACAGGGUGGGCUAGAGCAUGGACUCCGGGUCAGAAAUGCCCUGGGGCAAGCUCCUUAAUCCCCUGGAGCACAUUUCCUCAUCACAGAACAUGGGGAUGGUGAUGCUCCCAGCCUCAGGUUCUCUGGGCAGUAAGGUAGAGAGCAGAGAGCAGGGAGCAGGGAGCAGGGAGCACAGUGUGCUGCAGGCUUACAACUUAAAAUGGUCUACUGAAAACAACAGUGCUUGCAGCCAGUGGGGGUGACUGGACCAGAACUCAGGAUUCUGGACUCCGGGUUCCACUGCUCAUUCUCCAUCACAGGCUUGUUUUCUGAUCCCCAGGUGAUGAUCCUCAUCACAGGUGCACACAAGGCAUUUGCUCUGUACAAGGCCAUUGAGGAGGGAGUGAGCCACAUGUGGACCGUAUCCGCCUUCCAGCAGCAUCCCCGCACAGUAUUUGUGUGCGACGAGGACGCCACCCUGGAGCUGAAAGUGAAAACCGUCAAGUAUUUCAAAGGUUUAAUGCUUGUUCAUAACAAGUUGGUGGACCCCUUGUACAGCAUCAAAGAGAAAGAAACAGAGAAAAACCAGUCUUCUGAGAAGCCAUACGGUGAUUAGCCUGUGCUCAUCCUAGCAUCGAGUACCUCUUUAGGACAGGCAGAGCAAUUCUGGAAAUUGCCUUUAUGAGGACAGAAUUGUAUUUCUUUAAUCCAGAAUGGUUACUCCAGAUAAAUGGGUAUACUUAUUGUUCUUGGCUAUGCAGCAUGGAGCCUAGUCAUGAGAGUUUAGCUACAGGGAGAAGGACUUGUUCUGUAACUACUUUAAUCAGAAAAAAAGUCUCUGAAAAAUGUACUCCAUAAUUUUGAUGUCUGCCCUACACAGAUUAGGGUUUUUUAGCUUUUGUUCUGCCUCUGGCACUGUUCUCAUGUAUAACACACUCCCGUCAGGAAUUUCUAUCAUUACAUACACUGAUUCUCAAUUGGGGGUAGUGGGGGCCUCUGUAUAUUGGCCCAAACCUCUUUGAAAGCCCCUCUUGAGUAGGCCUGCCUCUCAUUUGGGAAUCACUGUUCCAGAUUAAGGAACAAACUCUUAACCUUCUGUUCAGUUACAAGUGCCAUGGAAAGAAAAUGAUUCCUUCCUUUCUUUCCCUAGUUGUCGUUUUUUUUUUCUGCUCUCACAGUUGGCCUUUCCAUGAACUCGGAGGACUCCUUGGGGGAGGAGGAUCUGGGUGGCUAGGGCUAAAGAGAAGGCUUUUGCUGAUAAACUCAGAGUCUCACGGGGCCUAACCACAUCAAACUCCCCUCCCUCCGGGAUCCUCUGGCACCUGGAGGAAGGCGGAAACCCUCUUCCCACCAGAGCCCCAUGUUUUUGUUCCAAGGUCUCACUGGGGCGACAGAGCCUGCCACAAUGUCAGUGUGUUCAGCUAAGGAGAUGGAGGCCAAGGCAACAGCUCAGUCGGGCCUAAGUUUAGUCACAACACGAGUGACACGUUCUCCUUCCCUGAGUGCGCCAAGACAAUAUACCAAAUGCUUCUAAACUUGCCUAAUAAUAGCCUUUCCCCACUUAAAAUACCCUGCCCUUCCAACCCGCUCAGGUUCCUGUGGCGCGCUCUGCCGUUCCCAGAACAUCAGGAAAUACAACCCUUUUGCCCCUUUGUCUUUCCCCCUUAGUCACAAAGUGAGUUUACUGCUCUGCCUUUGACUCUUAAGCCUUCGUGCAGUGGAUGCUGCCGUCACCUCCCUAUUGCUGUGCCUGUUUGAAGCUGCUGCUUCCUCUCUUUCUGGGAAAGAUCCUUCAGAGACUGGCUCAGGCCUCUCUUCAAAUGCUGUGUCUGGUCCCAGUGUUUGGUCUUGAGCUUUUCUACGUGAUUGUGCGGUCAUUCUGUCUUAGGCUAACGGAUCAGCGGACUUGUUUACAAUGUGAUAUUUUCUAUUAAAUCCAGUAUUUUCAAAUAAAAUA